CACAUAUGGUUCAUUUGGGAAGUAGAUGUACGUUACCUUUCAUACCGAUGCAUGCAGUUGUCUUCCAACUGUGUGGAAUGAAGGCAGAUUUCUCGGCAGAUCACAACGUAUUGAUGCGGCAGCAUGGACAAGGUUGAAACUCUGAUCAAAGAGCAGCAGCUUAAGGAUCAGUUUGAUAACUUGGAGAAGCACACGCAGUGGGGGAUCGAGUUUGCGGAGAAGUACAACAAAUUUGUGAAGGAGCGAUCGGAGAUCGAAAUCAACUAUGCAAAGCAAAUUAGGAAUCUUUCAAAGAAAUAUCAACCCAAGAAGAACUCAAGGGAAGAAGAAGAGAGCAAAUACACCUUCUGUCGAGCCUUCUUCACGACCCUUAAUGAGCUGAAUGACUACGCGGGUCAGCACGAGGUCAUAGCGGAGAACUUGAACUCCCAAAUCAUUACUGAGCUUUCUCGCUACCUGCAAGAGCUCAAGACUGAGAGAAAAACGCAUUUCCAUGAUGGACGCAAAGCACAGCAGUACAUUGAAAGCUCGUGGAAGCAGCUGGAAUCGUGUAAAAGAAGGUUUGAGAGGGACUGCAAAGAGGCAGACAGAGCACAGCAAUACUUUGAGAAGAUGGAUGCUGACAUUAACGUGACUAAAGCUGAUGUGGAAAAGCGAGGCUUGAACAAGGCACGACAACAAGCUCAGAUGAGGCACCAGAUGGCUUCUGACAGCAAGGGCGAUUACUCGUCCUACCUGCAAAAGUUCAACCAGGAGCAGAACGAUCAUUACCACACAAUAAUUCCCAACAUAUUUCAGAAACUUCAAGACAUGGAGGAGAAAAGGAUCGAGAGAAUAGGAGCGUGCAUGAAGACGUUCGCAGAGGUGGACCGCCAAGUGCUGCCCAUCGUGGGGAAGUGUUUAGACGGCAUGACUACAGCCGCCGAGUCCAUCGAGCCCAAGACUGACUCCCAGCAGGUGGUGGAGUCCUACAAGUCUGGCUUUGAGCCCCCGAGUGACGUGGAGUUCGAGGACUACGGUCAGGCCAUGAAGAGAACGGUGUCUGAGAACAGCCUGUCCAACUCCAGAGAGGGCAAAGAGAAGCCUGCCGGCAAGAGCAAGCCCAAACUGUGGCCUUUCAUUAAGAACAAGAACAAGCUUAUGUCCCUGUUAACGUCCCCCCGUCAGCCCCCACCUGCCCCCCCAGCCUCAUCCCUGCCCUCACCCUCUGCUGUUCCCAACGACCCCCAGUCUCCCAAGCAGCACAAGGAGCCCCUCUCCCAUCGCCUCAACGACUUCAUGGCCUCCAAACCCAAAAUGCACUGCCUCCGGAGCCUGAGGCGAGGGGGAUCUGGACCAGAGGAUUUCAGUCAUCUGCCACCAGAGCAAAGGAGGAAGAAACUGCAGGGCAAGAUUGACGACCUCAAUAAAGAUAUUCACAAAGAGAUGGACCAGAGGGAUGCACUGACCAAGAUGAAAGACGUGUACAUUAAGAACCCCCAGAUGGGCGACCCGGCCAGCGUGGACCCCCGGCUGACGGAAAUAGGCCAGAACAUCGAGAAGCUCCAGGCUGAAGUGCAGAAGUUUGAGGGGUGGUUAGCAGAAGUAGAGGAGAGGAUGCCUUCGAAGAGCGACUCACACCGUAGAAGUGGACUUUACGAGACUCAGAGCACCAUAGCAGUGAGCAACAACUGUGCACAAGACAGAGAGAGCCCGGAUGGCAGCUACACAGAGGAGCAGAAUACAGAAACUCAGGUCAAAGCCAACAUCAACAUCAACAUCAACCCCAACCCCAACCCCAACACCAUCCCCACCACCAUGCCGGACGACGAGGAAUUCGACGACGACGACGAGCCACUGGCCACCAUCGGCACCUGCAAAGCUUUGUACCCUUUCGAAGGUCAUAACGAAGGCACCAUCGCCGUGGCCGAGGGCGAGCUUCUGUACGUCAUAGAAGAAGACAAAGGAGACGGCUGGACGCGGGUUCGGAGGAACCAGGAUGAAGAAGGAUACGUCCCAACGUCCUACAUUGAGGUCAAUCUGGAACCGAAUGCCAAAGGUGCUAUGACGUACAUCUAACUCGGCAAGCUCACCCUGUGACAGAUUUUUUUGUUGUUGUUGUUACUUUAAUUAAUAUCUUUCCAUUGACUGGGUCAAAGAUUAGAGAUUGUUAAUAGCCGCUCGGAAAGACGCACUUCCCGUCUCCGCAGGGGGAAGGACCAAUCACAUUUGUCUGCUGUGCCUCAUAACAGUUUAUGCAGGGAGCGUGCCUUUUAAUUCUGAGGUCCUUUGUGUGAAGACUCUGAGGACAAGGCACACAUUUUCACUGCAGUGCCACCUAGUGGUCGUACAACACGAGUCAUGACACCUCCAGUCAAAGCUGUGGGACAAAUCAGCUGCUGACAAUGAUCACUGAUACAUUUCAAACACAAACCUCUUGAUUACACUUGAGCUAGAAUCUUAAAUGUUGGAAUAUGGACUUGCAUUAUCAUAAUGUUAUUCAAGGGGUCUGAUCAACCACCUGGAAGACCAUCUGAAUCAUGUGUUUUUGUAUGUUGUUGCACCCAAAUGACAAACAUGCUCAAUGUGCAAUCAGACAAAACGCUGUCAAGCUCUGCUGUACUAAUUUUAUGUCUUCAGUUACUUUUUGUAGGCUGAUAAGUAAUAGAAACACAAUAAAAUCCGUGACCUCGACUCUAAAAAUGUUGCAUGCCUUUAAUAUUAUAGAUGCUGGCACAUCAGGAAAUGUAAACCCAAUUAUUGUUCCCAAUGAGGGAUGAUUUUCUAAGAAUAAUAACCCAGUUUACUGCAUUUUUUUAUUGCUCUUUUUCCACGUUCUCGAUUCACUUUUUGAUAACGGUAUUGUUGGCCUGCUCUGGAUCUUUCUCUCCAGGCCAGUGGUAAAGGAAUAAAGGAAAACGAAAUCAGACGCUCUCAGCUCUAUGAUUCCUAAAAGUGAGAGGCUGGCAGAGGAAUGGCAGGGCAAGCAGCCGCGGAGAAAACCACGGUGUGAAAAAGUGACAGAUGGGCUCAAUCUUUAAAGAAAAAAAUAUCUGAGAAAGAGAGAGUGAUGGAUGAUAGGAAUGCCGCUGAAAUUCACAACACAAACAUUUUGACAAAAAAAAUUAUUAUUAUUAUUUUUUUUUUAUAAUCGGCAGCGUCGAGCUUCCUCCGCUGAACAAAAGAGAUCGGUUUUAGCUCUCUUAACAUUCUCCAUUUUAACUCCCCUCUACCACGACUCAGACGACAGUACACAAUUUGAUCCUUGGUGUUUUACAGCAGAGCUUUGCUUCUUAAUGUCACUAACUCUGCUUGCGGCCAUGAAGAGGCUAUUUUUUUUAGCAUCCUCGCUCCUAACGCCCCUCCGUGCCCCUUGCACCGCUCUUCUAUUUUUUUUUCUUCCUUUCUCUCUCUUGUGACGCUCACAAUUACGGGAAAGCGUGUGGUCAGAAACAGGACGGAAGAGCAGCAGGAGCCCGAAGGGGAACGUUAAAACACGAAGCCGUACACUUCCUAAAACAACUCAUCCCGGUCUCAUCGCCUUCACCCUUCACUCCUUAAAAAAAAAACAUAUUUUUCUUUUUUUUCUUUUUUUUUUUUUUUUUCAAAUUCAACCACUCAUUUUGCAGGUUUCAUCCAAGCAGAAACAGAAGGAGGUUUUUUUUUUUUUUCUUUUUUUCUGUGUUUCUGCUUUCUUUCUUUGUUUUUGUGUCAAACCACGUUCAGGUUCCCGGGAUCGGCUGGAGGGCCCGUCUCUCUCAUCCACAGUACUCAUGUCUUGUCACUGGUGUCUGUUCCUCUCUCUGACCACACCCUUUCGUUCCCACUCUCCUUCCCCCACUCAGGCAGCUCAGGCUACCUGUCUCACAGCUGCUUCGAGCCUCCCCCUCCGCCCCCCGUCUUGCCUUUUUAAAAUGUUAUUUUUUAAUUUGCUAAGGCUCGGGGCGUGUGGUGUGGUGCAUGCUUGCCCUGUCUUCCUCCUCGCCCCCCUCUGCUGGCGGCUCGGAGAGGCGGCUUACGCCACCCCCACCCACCCACUCCGUCCUGCUGCCGCUGCCUCGAGCCUUUCUGUUCAGUUUAACCCUCAUUGCCUGGUCACACUGUUUAAAUUAACCUGAAUGCUACUGUUUGGGUUCAGUGCCUGUGGGUUUUUUUUUUUUACUGUUUUUUUUCUAUAUAUAUAUAUAUAUAUUUAUGUACAUUUCCUUUUUGUUUGUUCAAAAAGCAUGUUUUUCUUGUUUUUAACCGCAAAUAUGUGAUCUUUCCCGCCUCCUUCUCCCAGUGCUCCAAAGUGUAAUCACAGAUGAGGACGUUAGGGAGCCAUAAUGUUGUUUUCUGACUGAUCUUACACAUAGAUAGGUUAUGUCUUGUGAGUUUCUGUCUUUUUCUAUUUGUUUGUAAAAACGUAAUGCGACUCGUGGCUAGUUUACAGUCCAAUACCCUGUGGGAAAUGUCUCUGCUUGGUUUAGGCAACUUAGGAAAAGAAAUAAAAUAAAAUCCCCACUUCUACUGUAUAUGAAAAUGUCCUGUGAUGAAGAUUUUCUUGAGACUGAAGUGUGACAACAUACAGAUCAUCGCCUGAAUUGAGCCUUAACCCGUUGGGACGAAAAAGAUGUAGUUGGUUUUGUUUUAAUACGAGGAAAGUGUCUGUAGGCAUGGGCCGGAUUACUGGUGUCAAGGAAUGACGUGGUUUUUGAAAUCUGCAAACAUUUAGCAACAUUUCGACGGUUUAAACUCCUUCUGAACAUUGAGGUGAUGCUCAUUAUAUCUCUCCAGAUAUAAUGAGCAUCUCUUCUCCACCAUGUCCUCCAGGCUGUCGCUCAGCUGACUGGGAGAAUGCUACUGCUGUUUUUCUCAUACUUGUCAAGUAGAUUCGGUUCGAAUGGGGAGAAAAAUUGGAACGUUUUGUUAAAUUUUCUGAUGGCGCGGUUCGCCUUCACACUGCGCCGUCGGGAGAACCAAACCUGUUUACCUCCCCACCUUUGAUGGUGCUGCACCACGGGCCAAUGAAGGAGAUUACUCGAAAACUUCUGGAGAUGUGAGCGCAACUUUCUCCUUCGCAAAAUGUAAAUAAAAAUGGAAUGGCGUCAGAUUUUAGUGGUUGAAGUUCAUUUCUGUUUUUGCCAAAAGACCAAAAGCCAUUUCUCCCGCUAUCGCUAGGCUUGUGCAUUUGUCUUGCUUGUUUUUAGUACAUGUGCAUUGGGGUCAAGAAUGUGGUAUUCUCAGCGUUCUGCUGUUUUAGGUUACUUUUGCCGUUAGAUCAGGAUCGUUUAUUCAUUUUUACAGAUUAGUUGACCCCCAAAAGUUCUGAGAGCCUAACCAAGUGGCCAUAGAAGUAUUUUCUGAAUUCAUUUCACUUUGAAAUUUAAGCACGCGACAUGGCAAGGUGAUUCUUUAGCCGCGUCACACGUGGGAUAUGCAAAGCACACAAGAGCUACGUUGUGUUUUCAGUGUCAAAUACACAGCAAAGUACAUUUUACUCCACUGAAGUAAGAGCUCAGUAGUAAGACACACGAGCACAAAAGAGUUUUGGAUAAAAGCAAUUAGAUCAUGCCAUACAUUUUGGUUACAUCCUAUCAGAAACUCAGACCGACCCAUGCCUAACUCUCAGACUGGAAGACUACAACUUUUUCCCCCACAUUCAACGGCACAUAGUGUACAAGAUUUCAACUUUUUUAUUAUUAUUAUUUGUUUAUGUUCUUUAAGAUUCUUCCUCUUUGUGUCUUUCUUUGUUGCUGAAAUAUUCUGUUCCUCAUCCCACCUGAAUGAGGCCGCUCUGAACCGCAAAGAUGAAACUAGCAACCCCACUGUUCAGUAUCCACCUACCGCAGGUCCUCGUAAACACUUCCCAUGUGGAGGAGUGAUUAAGCAGACCUAUAAAUAGACUCCCACCGUCUCCCAUCUCACCGCGUCAAGAUUUUUUUUUUCCUCUGAGUUUCAUUUUGUGUCUGUGAUAAACGUCGAGAGCGAAGUGGCAGACUUGCCUCACCACAAAAUCUUUUUAGCCCUCAGAAUCACCUGCCUGUACAGAGGAUGAGACAUGAUGGAAUUAGAGAGAGAGUAUAUAUGAAUUUAUUAAAAAGGAAAAAAAAAAAAAAAGUUUUAAAAGGAAAACAUCUAUUUUAACUAUAUGGACAGUCUUACAGCGGAUUUAUUUGCUUCAGCUAGUAAGACUUCUUUUUUUUCCUUUAUGAGACCUACCAAAUGGUGUUUUUUGCACUUUUUCAUUUGUGUUCCAUUUGGUGGCCCCAUGCUUGUUGUUUUGGAGCACUGAAUACUUUGUAUUGUGUUUAAUUUUAUGUGCCAAUUAAAUAUGCCUGAAAAGAAAGAAC